CCAACGGCCCUCUUUAGGGCCACAAUCAUUCGCGAAUACUGAUAC
rfam:Ancylostoma duodenale strain Zhejiang A_duodenale-1.0_Cont13365.1, whole genome shotgun sequence.